rnacentral:rRNA from 1 species
GACGAACGCUGGCGGCGUGCUUAACACAUGCAAGUCGAGCGGUAAGGCCCUUUCGGGGGUACGACGAGCGGCGAACGGGUGAGUAACACGUGGGUGACCUGCCCUCAGCUCUGGGAUAAGCCUGGGAAACUGGGUCUAAUACUGGAUAUGACUCCACGGUGCAUGUCGUGGGGUGGAAAGCCUUGUGCGGCUGAGGAUGGGCCCGCGGCCUAUCAGCUUGUUGGUGGGGUGAGGGCCCUACCAAGGCGACGACGGGUAGCCGGCCUGAGAGGGCGGCCGGCCACACUGGGACUGAGACACGGCCCAGACUCCUACGGGAGGCAGCAGUGGGG